UACUUGCUUUUACAAGGCGAAACCGCGAAUGGCUCAUUAAAUCAGUUAUGGUUCACUAGAUCGUAAAUUUUACACGGAUAACUGUGGUAAUUCUAGAGCUAAUACGUGCAACCAGCUCGUUCCCUUGUGGAGCGAGCGCAGUUAUUAGAACAAGACCAAUCCGGCCUUCGGGUCGGUACAAUUGGUGACUCUGAAUAACCGAAGCGGAGCGCAUGGUCUCGUACCGGCGCCAGAUCUUUCAAGUGUCUGACUUAUCAGCUUGUUGUUAGGUUACGUUCCUAACAAGGCUUCAACGGGUAACGGGGUAUCAGGGUCCGAUACCGGAGAGGGAGCCUGAGAAACGGCUACCACAUCCAAGGAAGGCAGCAGGCGCGCAAAUUACCCACUCCUAGCACAGGGAGGUAGUGACGAAAAAUAACGAUGCGAGGGCUAAUAGCUUCUCGUAAUCGGAAUGGGUACACUUUAAAUCCUUUAACGAGGAUCUAUUGGAGGGCAAGUCUGGUGCCAGCAGCCGCGGUAAUUCCAGCUCCAAUAGCGUAUAUUAAAGUUGCUGCGGUUAAAAAGCUCGUAGUUGGAUCUGGGCUUCUGAAUGGAUGGUUCGCUUUACGGCGUAACUGUUCGUUUGGUGCCACAAGCCGGCCAUGUCUUGCAUGCCCUUUACUGGGUGUGCUUGGCGACCGGAACGUUUACUUUGAAAAAAUUAGAGUGCUCAAAGCAGGCGUAUGGCCUUGCAUAAUGGUGCAUGGAAUAAUGGAAUAGGACCUCGGUUCUAUUUUGUUGGUUUUCGGAACUCGAGGUAAUGAUUAAGAGGAACAGACGGGGGCAUUCGUAUUGCGGCGUUAGAGGUGAAAUUCUUGGAUCGUCGCAAG
rnacentral:rRNA from 1 species